CGGUAGCUAAAUGCGGAAGAGAUAAGUGCUGAAAGCAUCUAAGCACGAAACUUGCCCCGAGAUGAGUUCUCCCUGAGACUUUAAGUCUCCUGAAGGAACGUUGAAGACGACGACGUUGAUAGGCCGGGUGUGUAAGCGCAGCGAUGCGUUGAGCUAACCGGUACUAAUGAACCGUGAGGCUUAACCUU
rnacentral:rRNA from 2 species